rnacentral:lncRNA from 1 species
GAAUAAAGCGCUGGCCUGGACGCGCCGGUGACGGUGACGUGGGGACAGGUCUGUCACCCCGAGGGGGACACGGGCGAUGGGGGAAAGCAGGACACCCCCCACCACGACCCCUGCUGUCACCCCGUCCCCUGCCCUGAGAGGAGCCACAUGCUGCCCCCCCCCCCAAAAGAAGCUGUCACGGGGGACGGGGACGGGACCAGGACACAAUUUAUUGUCUCAAGGGAGGGACAACGGUUGGAGAGUGACGCCGCAGGGCCCUGGGACGUGCAGGGGACAGGGGACGCCGGACACCGCAGCGCCUUGGGGACAGCAGAGACACGGGUGGGUGUCACCACGGGGCCCUGAGGACAGCAGGGACAUGGCUGGGGGACACCACAGGGCCCUGGGGACAGCAGAGAUGUGGGGGACCGUCCACCUGGGAAGGUCUUGGGGACGGCAGCGACCCGGGUGGGUGUCACCGCAGGGCCCUGGGGAUGCAGGGGACAGAUCCCCCGAAGCCCUGGGGACGGCAGCGGGGAGGGGGACCGUCCCCCUCGCCCUGGGGACAGCGGGGACUCACACGGCGACGGGCUCCUGGACGUGGUUCUGGCGCUUCACCACGAAGAGCUUCUGCCCGGAGACGGUGACGAGGAGGGAGUGUUCCCCGAACACCACUGCGGGGACAGGGUGAGCGCGGGGCCACCGAGGCCACCACCGUCGCCCCGGGGACACCACCCUCCUGGAGGCAGGGCGAGUGCAGGGCCACCGGGGUCGUCACCAUCACCCUGGGGACAGGGUGAGUGUGGGGCCACCAGGGUCAUCACCAUCACCCUGGGGACACUGGGGCCACCACUCCCCUGGGGACAGGGUGGAUGUGGGGCCACUGAGGCCACCACCAUCACCCUGAGGACACUGGGGCCACCACUCCCCUGAGGACAGGGUGAGCACGGGGCCACCAGGGCCACCACCACCCCAGGUACAUGGUGAGUGCGGGGCCACCACCACCACCCUGGUGGACAAGGUGAGCGUGGAGGGCCACCACCACGCCAGGGUCCUUGAGGCCGCUGCCACCACGGGGCCAGCGCAGGGGCCAUGGCCGCCCUGGGGACAAGCGGGUGACAGC